rnacentral:lncRNA from 1 species
AGGGCCGUACCUGUAGCACAUGGAAGUUCCUGGGCUAGAGGUCUAAUCAAACUGCAGCUGCCGGCCUAGGCCACAGCCACAGCCACACCAGAUCCAAGCCACAUCUGCAAUGUACACCACAGCCUGCGGCAACAACUGAUCCUUAACCCACUGAGCCAGGCCAGGGAUUGAACCCGCAUACUUCCAGACACUACGUCAGGUUCUUAACCCACUGAGCCACAAGAGGAACUCCAGUGCUCAUUCUGAGCGGCAGAAAUCUCAGUUCCUCCUUCUCCCAUCGCUGCAAAUGAAUGGCGAUAUGCUACAGAAUCCCUGAGCACGGUUUAUGGGCAAAUGCAAGAUUCUAUUUCCAAGUACUCUGUCAUAAAUAAUCUGAAGUCAAGCCUUUCUUGUGUAGCUGACUGUGAACUAAGCUUACUAACUUUUCUUUAGCCAACAAAUGCUUUCUCCCUUUUGAAGGUCAAAUACCAGGGAAUUUAAUAAUCUGCUGCUGAAUCCGUACUUUGGAGGAGCAGUAAGUGAUGAAUUAUUCCAGAUCUACUUUCCCUUGUAAGGCACUAAAUAUAUGAUUAAGUGAAAGUUGCACUAACUGAACAAUAACAUUAAAAAAAAAAAGUUUUGCUAAAAUAAGCAGACAUUGAGAGCUGAUUGUGAUUGCAAGGGAACAGGGGAGUAGCAGGCAGCCUCAGUCCUGCUGGGAACUGACCAAAAUAAUUUGAGAGCUUCUGGUCUGUCGGUGGCUGUUCACUCAAGCACACCUCUGGGCUCUGCGGACCACAAACCUAAAGAAGUUACUGCUGGUACAUGGUAUUGAACUUCUUAGAAUUGAAGUCUGCAUGACACCUGGCCCCCUCUGGGAUUUUUCACUGAUUAAAUAUUCGCUUCAAGACCCCAAACUUCGAAUGUAUGGAUAUGUAUGACUGGGUCACUUUGCUGUACAGCACAAGUUGGCACAGCAUUGUAAAUCAACUAUAAUAACAAUUAAAAAAAAAAAAAAAAAAAAAAAAAAGUCUUCAUAACAGUAGCAAUGGCCAUCAUCACGGGCGUGCAGAUGAGAUGGACAGAGGCCAAGUCCAAACUCAGGAGCGCCGGCUGGUAAUGAGCAGGGCCAAGGGACCUUGAAGGGACUAGGUGAGAAGCGGGGACUCAGGGUGUCUGGCUUUAGAGGGUUGGAAUCUGAGUGAGGAAUGGAGAGGAAGCCAAGAGAUAGGAGACACUGCAAAGAGGUGAAAAAAGCAGCAGCGUCAGGCUGCAGUGAAGCUGGACAGUAAAAACAGACCGGGGUGCCACCUCAACAGCCCUCUUCGGCUCGCCCGGGAGAAUAGGAAAGCCUAUGGAGAAAGAAGGGUGCUCCAGGCUGGCCCACCUACAGUCACAGAAGGUGAGGGGUAUCGGAGGUGACGGUGGAACAGGUGACCCUAGGUCCAGACGAGGAGUACACAGCCAAGGAGCAGUGGCCCAGAGCACGAGGAGAUGUCAGUCAAUGAAAGAGCACAGGGAGGACAUGGAGGGUUCAGACAGGUGUGCGGGCGGGACAGGUGGCAAGCCAGGGGGUUAGGAGGAGAUGGUGCAGGCCUCCAGCUCUAAGUGCUUUACCUUAGAUGCCCAUCACCGGUCUCUCUCUUUACCACCCCCAGUCCCCUCACCUCUUACGAUAUUCAAGAGACUAGGCCGUCCUCUGUUGCUCCAGGCCACACACCAGAGAGCUGGAAUGGAACAUCUUCACUGCCAAAGGCAAUGGUACAGCCCUAUGCCCGUGGGCACAUCAUCAGGUGCCCAGAAUAACCGUGCUGUUGGGGACAUCACUGAGGUCUGAAGGCCGCUGCCCAUUCUCCGUCUCACACACACUCUCCCCACCCAGCUUGUGCUCACAAACCUUCUUCCUCUCCAGUAACCACUCAUGUCUGUCCUCUUCCUGGUCUCGUCUCUCUCACCCAGCUGCGUGCGCUUUGGCACCAUCAAAGUGCAGCAUCCAAGGACUUACUUCCUUUCUGCAUUCUUGCAAAAGCCCCACUCCAAGGUCAAGCCUGCUUUUUCCCAGCCUCCCUUCCCCAAAGCAGAAACUUCCUAUGAUUUACCUUUAUGCCUUCGAUGCUCUGCACACAGGAGGCACUAGACAAAUGUCUACAGAAAGGAGAGAAAUACCUUGAGCCGGGCACGCACACGCUCUAUUAAUGCCAUACCUUGUGCAUCGGCAAAACUAACAGUGUAUCCAGAAAACUAUCACCUCCCCUACCAGACGUUUGCCAUACCCAACACGCAAGCCUCCCUUCCCACCCCCUGUUUUAUAAGGGCAUCCAUAAGGGACAAUUCAUGCUGUGUAAACUAAAGCAACCCAAAGUCAGGGGCUGAGUUUUAUUUGCCUUUGAGUUCUCAGCAUCUACUACAAAGCCCAACAUGUAGCAGACAAGUGGCUAAUGGGAUUAAUCAAUCAAGGCAAAGGCACAAAUUUCCCUGAAAACAGCAUCACACAGAAAGCAGAAGAGCCACGAAAUUACCAAAAAACGAAUAACCCACAAACUAAUCAGACUCUGAAAUAACUAAAAACUGAUAUCAUUACUUUAGAGGCUUCUAUUUUAAACACAGCAAAUUUCAGGGUAAAAUUCUCAUGUCUUUUUACAUUUUCAUUGCAGGUCUUCCUUUUUCCAAGCAUUUCCCCAGGCACUCGCUCAUGCAGUUCAUCAUCUAUCAGCGGAGCUUGGGAGCAGGAAUGGGAAACUUCACUGAAUUUACAAUUAGGACAAUUGGACUCAAGUCCCGUCGUUACCACUUCCUGACUGUGUGACCUUGAGAAAAGUCCUUUAGCCAGUGCACAUCUCAAUUUCCUUCUCUGCGGAGCAGAGAUAAGAUCUUGUUCUUCCUGCUUCUCAGACUUCUGAGGAUCAAGGAGGUGGGGGGAGGAGGGAAUAAAAUCUUGACGACCCACCACGGCCAGGCGCUUUACAUCUAUUGCUGGAUUCUCACCACAAUCUUGCAGGGUAGGUUUUACUAUUUCUCGCCUAUGAUGGGAAGAAACUGAGACUCAACAUGCAAAAACCAACAAUCUAUGACCCUGGGAAAGUAAAGGGCCGGGCCUGACAUUCAAACACUUCUGGCUUGUCCGGAAGCUCCCCUCCUGAAAGGUAAUGCCUCCUAAGUGAGCUCUAAGUAUGUGUUAAAAAAAUUCAGCUGCUCUUUAGCAUAUGACCGCAGGUGUAAGUAUUUACACUCCUUGCUGUGAAUGUGCAAGGCAGAGGCAGAGAGGAGCAAGUAUUUGCUAAGGUCACAGGUCAGAGACAGAGCUGGGACUAGAACCGGGGUCUCCUGACUCCCAGCCUGAAGUCUCUUUAUGAAUCCAUGCUGCCCCACACCCCCCAGGAAAAGGCUCCCGACCUCCGUGGGCAUAGAGGCAUGGUGCCUGUUUAUUCAGACCAGCUGUUACCGAUCUAUUUUAAGACAAGCACUUUGAAACUCAUGGAAGGUGAGUAUCAAGUGUUUCAUUAAAUAUUCCAUAUUAAUUGACCCUUUAGAAAAUGCCCAUGUGAGGCACAUAUGCCUCCGGCUUCCUGUUAAGCAAACCACUUAAAAACUGACUACACUUCUUGCAACACAUAUGUUGAAAGCACGUUCGGAUGGGGGCACAAGAUACCAAUCUAAAAGGGUUUUCCAUGAAAAUGAGAAAGAGCUCCUUGUUGGCUGUUCCCGUGUUUCUGUCCAUUAAAUAAAUGCUCAAGACUGGGGACAGGCUGAAUAUAACCUUGUGACUGUCCUUCAUACCAUGCAGAAUGUGUGUUUAAGAGGGAAAAAAAAAAAAAACCCUGGAAUACAAUAUUCCAAUAACAGCUAACAGUGGAGGUCUGUGCAUUAACAAGAAGAACCAUUACACAGGGUGGGGGGUGGGCAGAGAUAAUCAUUUGAAAACCUGCCAUUAAAACAGUGCUGUUCGUACGACCCAGGGAAAUACAUGCAAGCGGUCCUGACCUGCUCAAGUGUCAGGGCACCGAACCACGCGCUUGAGACCAGCUGUCUCGAGGCACAGAGUUCCAAGGCCGAAAAGGGCCAGCUACACUCACUUUUCUCUCGUUAGCGUUCCACCUUUUUUCUAUCUGCUUUCAUUCCCUUUCUCCACUGUAUACUUGUCCAAAGCCUGUCUCCCAUUUUACACGGACUUGUGGGAUGUGCAUAAAACCAUCCAGCUGAUAUAGUCCACUCCCUAGACUAAAAUUAUUACUCACCAUCCAAGGUGAGAUGGAGGUGCUAUCGUCAGUAACCACAGAGCCCGUGCGAACACGCCUCCAGAGGAAGGCCACGAGAGCAAAACACAGUGAAAACGAGACCUCCUCCGGGUUGACGUCCAGCUGUGCCAACAGCCCUGCUGAGGACAACUCGGUUCCCUUUAAAUAUCUGAAUGCGCACCUUGCCUCUACCACGAAGCGCUUGUCAGUACAAGUUACGACUUCCUCUUAGCCCUGGAGAGAGUCAGGGGCAUCCAGUGACUGGACGAGAUAAGGAAGGCGUUAGUUAGCGGGCAGUCUCGCCUGCUUCACAGAGGCAGCAGCAGCAAUCGCGGUCACAUUGACUGAGCAUUUGCUACGUGCCAAUCACAAGGCCAAUUAAUUCAUUUAGUCCUCACAGCUACCCCAGAGGGUAGGUUCUUUCCAUCCCGCCUAU